rnacentral:rRNA from 1 species
CCUGUAUGAAGAUGGAGUUGCUAGUAAUCGCGAAUCAGAAUGUCGCGGUGAAUACGUUCCCGGGUCUUGUACACACCGCCCGUCACACCAUGAGAGUUGGCAACACCCGAAACCUGUGGGCUAACCGAAAGGAGGCAGCAGUCUAAGGUGGGGUCAGUGAUUGGGGUGAAGUCGUAACAAGGUACC